UUGUAGCAGCCGGUAGAUCUAAGCAAAGCGCAAUCAGGCUAACGGGGUCGUCACUGACAUAACAUCGACACAGUAUGCGGUCGUCCUCAUUCCGGCUGUUCAGCCCUCGGCAAAGAACGUUACACCAACUUAGCAUACUCGGUUUAUAGGCCUGUAGACAAGCAGCAUUCGUCCGUGUGGCAUGCUGACCGGCCACCAAAAUGUACGGCAGAGUGGGCUAUCCAUGGCAGUUUUGCUUCUAACUGGGCGCUCUUUUGAACGGUGCGCGGGUUCUAGCCCAACGGGUCCCACAGACAACGAAUGAGCUAGCCCAUAGGAGGGUUUACUAGCACCCACGGUGAACUUGGAAGACGGUCGCACGUCUCCGAAACGCCGUUGCGACUUAAUAAGAGAAUUUCGACAACUUCAAAAUCGUUGAGCUAUUAACUCGAUUACUGCAAGCGACUCGCCCUAUUUAUAUCAAAUUCACUGAAAUCUGUAGUUCUAAUAUGACAUUUAGUAGUAAAUGAAAGGAUGAUUCGGAUUUCGGCAGUUAAAUACAUUUCAUAUUUUUACGUGGUGCUUAUCUUAGAACGGUUGGCUGUUUUUGUGAAGCUUUUCAACAGUAUGAAAAAUGGUUUAUCAGUAUGUACCCGUGACAGCUUAAUCAACGACGUAUUUGCACGCUUAUGGACUCGUUGUGUUCGAUCCCCGGUGUAGACACAUUGUGCCUCGUGGCGGGACCCACUUGUCUGACGGAGUGCUCGGCGGCGAUAUCUAACCACACGUUCUGGAUUUCGGAACGACCACGAUCAAUACUGAUUGCAACCCGAAGACCUGUUAAGGACAAAGUGGUAGAACCGAAACCUGCUAUUUUACAGAGUACCUCAAAGGCAAUACUAUUUCAAACGUCCGAUCCUAGCGCCUGUGCAUGCUCGCGUGACGCCAACACCGACUCAGAGACAGCUUGUCAUGUUGUACCCGUUAAAACGUUAGGUUGCAGUAGGCAGAUGCACGGGUAUCUGACGCGGUCGAUACUCCUAUCCUUGCGGUAUUCACUGGCGAACGUCGCCUAGCCUACAUAAACCAGAUUGAUGUUGACUUAUCUAAAGUAUCGUUUCAGACGGCUGGCCAUCAGCACGAAGCAACGCUACGUAUCUGUGAUUAGUUUCGAACCUGGGCUACAUCACAAGCCUGUAUAUUUAGUAGGCGAGAGCUAGAGUCGAGAGUAGUGCAUUACUUCAAUAAAAGAUGCCGUUUUUAAAUCAGCCGUGCACCGCGGGGAGCUCCGAGAGAUGACGCUCAUGAACAAAUGCCAUGCCAGUACCGCCUGCACCGCUGUUCAGAUACUGAUUGUAUCAAAAGAAGCGUUAUUCAAAUGCAGUUAUGGAUAUACGCAGAGAAUUUAGCACCUUGUAUGAACACCAUACAGCGCAAUCAACGU